GGAGAGGUGGUAGAGUGGUUGAAUACACCAGUCUUGAAAACUGGCAUGCCUUCGCGGGCAUCGUGGGUUCGAAUCCCACCCUCUCCGCCA
rnacentral:tRNA from 1 species